GCUUUCAACAUCCCCGUUCCAAGUCGAGCCGACGAAGCAGUUUUGCCGGCGCGUCUUUGGAGCUGAAAGC
rnacentral:sRNA from 12 species